rnacentral:rRNA from 1 species
CCUACGCGAGGCAGCAGUGGGGAAUAUUGCACAAUGGGGGAAACCCUGAUGCAGCGACGCCGCGUGAGUGAAGAAGUAUUUCGGUAUGUAAAGCUCUAUCAGCAGGGAAGAUAAUGACGGUACCUGAGUAAGAAGCCUCGGCUAACUACGUGCCAGCAGCCGCGGUAAUACGUAGGGGGCAAGCGUUAUCCGGAUUUACUGGGUGUAAAGGGAGCGUAGACGGGAUGGCAAGUCUGAAGUGAAAGCCAGGGGCUCAACCGCGGGACUGCUUUGGAAACUGUUAAGCUGGAGUGCAGGAGAGGUAAGUGGAAUUCCUGGUGUAGCGGUGAAAUGCGUAGAUAUUAGGAGGAACACCAGUGGCGAAGGCGGCUUACUGGACUGUAACUGACGUUGAGGCUCGAAAGCGUGGGGAGCGAACAGGAUUAGAUACCCCUGUAGUC